AACGUUGAGAAUCAAUGAGAUCAGCAACAAGUGCUGGUUCGCCCUCAGCAGAGAGACAACGGAAGCUUGAAGAUGGACAUGGCAUAUUGCGAAUCCAGGAGAACAUUUCCUUCUUGGAUCGGCCCCAAUCCGAAGGAAUGCCCAGGUAUUUUCCAUACUUAGUGAG